rnacentral:piRNA from 1 species
AGGGCAGCGAUAAUGAAUGGUAG